CUCUUCCCCUUAACUGUUAUUGUUUUUUCCUGUGUUUUCAUAUAUCUAUUGCCCUCGUUUAUCCAUAUACCAAGGUACUGAUAUUCUGUGGCCCGAGGUAUUUCCUGGCCAUGUAUUCCAUUCAUGUCUGUUCGCUGUUUUCAUUGAGAUGCGCCGAGAGCAGGGCCAUCUGGUGGCAAAAGCAAAAAGCCAAAUGCCGCUUGAUUUACCUGAACUCUGAUUGGCGGACGCGCCGCGCGACGCGUUUUUUUUUUUUCUACUCCAAGCAGCAGCACGCGGCGGCGCGAAAUGACGCGCGCGUUCCACCAUCUGCGCGUCAAUCGCGCCUGCGAUCGGGCCAUGCGGUUCCGCCUUAACGCGGAGCACCGCCAGAGCACAUGUUAUAAGUCGGCUACGUUACCGCAUCGCGGGCAAGCGUGCGAAGCCAAGGCUCCGGGAAAUAUUUCGCCUAAUAGUAAGGGAUUGGGAUAGGUUCCCGUCUGCAAGAGCGUCGGGGUGAGAGCUUGGGGUCUGUUUAGCUUUAUCUGAGGAGGAGGAUAUGACCGGCACGCCAAGCAAAGGUGCUUCGGGAGUUCGUUGUAUGAGAGAAGUGUCCCAUUCUCCCAUGUGUGCGGGAAACCAUAUGAUCGCGUGCGGGUUAACUUCCUUGCCACGGAGGAUCGCCAGGGCCUGUCUGGAAACGGUGCCCUUGGCAAAGGCUCUCAUUGCGGCCCUCGAGUCACUGUGUAAUCGGGUUUUCUUGCCAUCAAGGAUUGCCAGGGCUAUGGCUAUCUGUUCGGCUGUCUCUGGAUCUGUUGUAUAUAGAGACGCGGAAUUCGUGACGUUUCCUCUACCAUCCAGAAAGACCGCGGGGAACGCUCGCCUGCUGGGUUCGAACGCGGCGUCGACGAAAGUGCUUUCUUCUACUCGUUCCCUGGCUUUCUCGAGCAGGGAUUUGGCUGUAGCUCGCCUUGUGCCCACAGCGUGCACUGGGUGUGCGUUCCUCGGGACUUGGAUGACCAUGAUGCAGUCCCUCAACUUCCUCUGCAUCUCACAGUGCUUAUCUUGAGCUGUGGCGGGCGAGACGCCUACCCUGUUCAGAAUUUGUCUUCCGAACUGCGUGGUGGAGAGUCUGAUUUAUUGAGUUUUUUCCAGCGCCUCGACAAUCUCUUCUAGAAUGUUGCGCACGCCCAACUGCACGAGCCUCUCGGUGCCCAUAUAUAUGGGUAACCUAACUCCUGGGCUCUCUUAGUCCCCUUUCUCAGGAGCGGAUUGAGUUUGUCCCUCUUCGCCUUCUGCCAUUCGUGCAUUGCAACGACGUAGGCAGAGCUACAGAGAACGAAGGAGUGCACCAAUCGGACGAUGUUGUCUUAGCGUAGGCCUCUCUGUCGGUUGGUGGCUCUCUUGAUGAGUUUAAUGUCAUUGUAACGCGUAUUGUAUGCGCUGUGCCUGCCAGCUCAAUAUGGCCAUAUGGGUCCUUUGAAGGCGAAUUUGAGCGUCGUAGAAUUUUUUUCACUAGCUAACAACUGUUCAAGGUUAUGGCCCACCGAAAGACAAGCCUUUAUGUAACUGAAGUUUCUCAAUUGUUAUCGCUCGUUCCAUCCGUUGUACUUUGGUACCGAAGGUUGCAAAAUGAUAUUGUCUGCUCGACACAAAUUGUGUAUUAUUUUCUGGCAUCAACAAUCAGCCGCGAACCUGGGACGAGUCCUGUAUAAAAGCCGAGAUGUUUGGCCCACAGAUAACAUUUUCGACUAUCAACGAGCGUGCUCGCCGCUACUAUUGCGCCGGGUUUUACUUUUGCUGACUUCAGGUUCACAAUAGACAGUUAGGUUCGUGACUUACGUUGGACCAAUGUGGUAUUUCACUAUCAACGCAUCGUGACAAUAUUUUAACAUUCUGGGCGCCUGGUUCCGCGCUCGAAAUCGGUGGCAAAAUAUAUAUGCACGUCGAUGUGAACAGAUGAAUUAACAAUCGCAUGAGGCAUGAUAAGGCGUUCAGACGUGUGUCUUUGAGCCAAUGACUGAAGCGAUAAUAGCUGAGGUUGCCAGGGUGGUUAGAAAUGGCAAUCAUUCCUGCCAUAUAUGGAUCAUAUUGCAUUUUACAGCGCAGCUCUUGCGUGCCAUUUCCUGCGACCAGCGCCAGCGUGGAUGUCGUGCCUCGUAACCGAGCGAACGAGCACAGGGAAGGAUUAAAGCGUACGCGAAGCGCAGCGUGAGAUGAAAGACGGUGAUAGCGAAGAGAGCGGGAGGCGGAAAUCGGAGGAGGAGGGUAUGGAGAAAGUGUGAGAAGCGUAGUGCCAUGCGAGCACGGGCUCUGCGGUUAGGAUGACUACAAGAUGGCGCAGGAGUAGCGCGCAUCGUCAGUGUGGAAACAAAGCACUGUAUGAGCGGGGGUCUGUAUGCGGCGGCUGCCCCGAAUCGAGCCCACGCUUUAACCAUGCGCAGCCUCUCGCGAUAUUGCGAUUAGCGAGGCAGUUGCACCACAGUUUGCUCCAUUAGGAACGUGCCGCUGCAGACUGAUAUUCCGCACCAGCCAAUAUAUCACGAAAUCAAAACACGCAUAGGGAUGCGCUCAAAUUUUGCGUUCAGAAGCAUUGUAAUCGCUAGUGAUUUUUUUUUUUGCGCAGAAAUUCGUGUGGAAGCUUAUAUAUGUCCUAAUAAUGGUUGGGAGACCAAAUUGUAGAACUAUAUUCAAAGAUAGGUCAAACUAGUUUUAUUUAGGCCGUGAGUUUACACUUUUCAUUGAAAUUUUCUAGCGUGCGUUUAGAUAGCCGACCUUUUGAAGUGCUUUUUAACAGAUAAGAGCGGCAUCCUUCAACUCCAAGGAAGUCCAAUUCGUUGAAAUUGUCAUGGUAAUUAUUUCCGUUAGUGAAAAAGAGGUUAGAAGGCUAUUUUUUGUUAGUGAUAGUUAUCGGCGCUGUUUUUUAUAUAAAAUGACGCUUGCCAGACAUGACUCCAGUGGGAAAACGAAGCAAAAAUGUUGUUAAGCCCGAUCUGCUCUUGAACCUUAUUAAUGGUGGCUUAAAACACACAGUCGUCAGAAUGCAAACGAUGUUUGACAUUGGUGUACUGAUAGGUUUUGUCGCAUCGUUAUUAUUGUGAGCACAACAUUCGCAUCUCAUCUUCCUCACCUGUGCAUAUAUCAUCAUCGACUCAUCACCAUAUCUGUACAUAUCAUCAUGAGAGACGCGACUUCUUUUUCGUCCUGGUGCGGAAUCCUCGAGACUAAAGAAGUUCCUCAGGAGUGUAGGAGACUGCUCCUCGUUCCCCAAGUCGUCUCACGGUUCCUACCUGGGUGGUCGCAUCACCCCAGCGGCACUGUCAAGCCAAGACCCACCUUGUACAACUGACGCCACCGUCUCUGCCCAGUCUUCUUCCAUCUGGACUAUCAACAGCCGUCAGCGUGACUCCCAAGUAUUCGGGCUUACGCGGCGAAGACGUCCAAGACUGGUUCGUGAAAUACGAUGGAGUCAGCGACUAAACAGGUGAAAUAAAUCCAAUAAACGUCGCAAUGUACCUUUCUACCGCUCUGGCGUCGCUGAAAGUUGGUUCUUGUACCAGGGGUCCUACUUACCUGAGUAGACUGUAUUCGCGCAGGAGUUUUGUGCUAUUUUUGGUGUUCCUGCUAUUCGCCAUUAAAUCACGAAAAAGAAGCUUGUCCACCGUGUCCAAUUUUCCGGAGAAUCGUAUCAAUUUAUAUUCAAGAUGUCCUCGCCCUAUACAGGCGUGUAAACUCCACUAUGUCCGAAAGCGACCGCCUCCGUCACAUCAUCAAGGGAAUCAAAACUAUUGGCUUCAAUGCCCUGGCUACACAGAACCCUACAACCCUGCCAGAUCCUCCAUCAAAUCAUCAAGGAAAUCAAAACUAUUGGCUUCAACGUCCUGGCUACCCAGAACCUACCAUGCUGCCAAGUCCUCCGUCACAUUAUCAAGGGAAUCAAAACUAUUGGUUUCAAAGCCCUGGCUACACAGAACCCUACCACCCUACCAGAUAUCAUCACCAUGUGCCAGGGCCUUUAGGAACUGCAAUUCCUUCGCGUUAACGCAGAUACGUAUGAUGGUCGUCUCCCUGAGACUACGGAUCUGCCCACUUUGAUCCGUCCAUCAUACGUGAGGAACUACACGCACAAUGUUCUUCCUGUGCUUCCUGCACCGCCACCUCCCUUUCGCCGACCCGCUUGCGCGCAGUUAUUAAAGAGCUCGCAUCUACUACCCGUGACAUGUGUUCUGACGCUACCGGCGCUCCAACUGUAACAACAUAUUGCCACGUAGGGGUGACUGUGAAGAAAGCAGCGAAACUGGGAAUGACGAAACUAGCGUUUUAUUGGACGAACUUGUCCCCUCAAAAACAGGCUACACUCAAAGAAUGGCGACAGCGGCCAACACAGUCGGCGAUCGUCGAAAAUAUGACCAGCGUGUUAAGCAUAUCGGCCUUUUUACAUCAGUCAUACAACGUUCCAGAGUAAUCGCUGGUGCCCGCGUGUAUUCCAGAAAGUUCUGCAUCAUUCGCGUCGCGCAUACAUGAAAUCACAUGACGCAGGGUUCGGUGACCACAGACAGCAAAAUGAACCAUCGAUUACAUUCAAGAAACUUCCGAUACGUGCAGGCGCUGACCCGCGCUGAGCGAUAACAUCUUUAGACGGGGAAAAGCGCUCACCCGAAAAAGCCAAACAAGUACAAAUGUCAAUAAACAGACAUCGCUGCGAUGCCUCCACUUACGACCACGCCUGGGACAACAUCAUCCGCAAGCACACCCGUGGCUUCAGUGUCAUGCAGGUUUGUGCUGAACCUUCCAGUCCUGCAGGUACCGAGGGCAAAUUGCCCGUUUCUGCCGACGGCGCGAACAGGAAGAGGAGCACGGUUUCGCACCUGAAGAACGUUCCGAUAGCUGUCCCGCUAUGCUUAAUUACCAGCGCCCUACACAACAGAUAUGCCUCCCACCUCAUCUCGGCGCCGCUCACCACGCCGCCGCUCGGUGUCCCCACUUCGGCACGCCUCACAGGCGCUCGGUAAAACUCCGCGCUGCAGUUUUAGGAAGGGAAACUGCAUCGAUCGGACGGCCUAUAAUUGCUGCAGAGCGCCGGUCAAAUCUAUUAUAAGUGUUUGUGGAAGGAGGAGGAGGAGGAAUAAACAUUUAUUGAUGAGGAAAAAGAAAAUGGCGGAAGGGAGCGGUGCAGGGUGCGUCCCUAUUCCAAGACUCCAGUGGCCAUCGCGACCCACCCAGCUUGGUCCAGGAGGCCCUUCUGAGCCUCGAGGUCAGCAAGAGCGAGGAUGGCCUCCCAGGGCUCCCUUAGUAAGAUGCCCAAGUGCCCAUUCAAGCAUCUCGGGAAACGCAGUCUGCCGUUCUUUCGGUGGGCUGUAUACGUUGCCAAUAAACGUUUUGGUUUUACUC